rnacentral:rRNA from 1 species
GACGAACGCUGGCGGCGUGCCUAAUACAUGCAAGUCGAACGCUGAAGGAGGAGCUUGCUUCUCUGGAUGAGUUGCGAACGGGUGAGUAACGCGUAGGUAACCUGCCUGGUAGCGGGGGAUAACUAUUGGAAACGAUAGCUAAUACCGCAUAAGAGUAGAUGUUGCAUGACAUUUGCUUAAAAGGUGCAAUUGCAUCACUACCAGAUGGACCUGCGUUGUAUUAGCUAGUUGGUGGGGUAACGGCUCACCAAGGCGACGAUACAUAGCCGACCUGAGAGGGGGAUCGGCCACACUGGGACUGAGACACGGCACAGACUCCUACGGGAGGCAGCAGGAGGGAAUCUUCGGCAAUGGACGGAAGUCUGACCGAGCAACGCCGCGUGAGUGAAGAAGGUUUUCGGAUCGUAAAGCUCGGUUGUAAGAGAAGAACGAGUGUGAGAGUGGAAAGUUCACACUGUGACGGUAACUUACCAGAAAGGGACGGCUAACUACGUG